rnacentral:tRNA from 1 species
GGAAGGAUGGCAGAGUGGUUGAAUGCACCGGUCUUGAAAACCGGCAACGGGGCAACUCUUUCCUGAGUUCGAAUCUCAGUCCUUCCGCCA